UUUCUUCUAUUCUUCUCUCUAUACGUUAGUGUUCUAACCAAUAAUCACCGAAGCGAUGUUCUGUCCGAUCGAUUCAGGAACCAACUAACGAAUGCCAAAGUACUGUACUUUGUGAAUUUCGAUAAACGGAAUCCAAAGUGCUGUACUUUGUGAAUUCGGUAAACGGAAUCCAAAGUGCUAUACUUUGUGAAGUUUGUUAAGGUUCGAAUCUCGUGACUACCGUUAGGUUUGAUUUAGGUUUUACACAAAUACGUAUUCCAUUCUGUUAAACUAUAUGUUUAACUACCAGAAUACUCCCAACUAUACACUUACAAUCAAAGUAGAUGCUAAUUCUUAGAAGAAUUUGAAUCAGGAAGCUUGUUAAAUCAAUACUGCAUGCUUAUACUGUAAUUACAGUAGAUUGGAGUAAGAGUUGGAUACGGCACCAACAAGGCUUACAGAAGUGGCUCAUUUUAUCAAUUAAAAUUUAAUUAAGAAAAAUUCAUUUUAUGUAAUCAGGUUUAUCCCUUAUUAAAGCUACCAUUGUAAAACAUGGGUUUUUAUCCCAUCUAUUUAAUAAAUAAAAAUCCGGUGU
rnacentral:lncRNA from 1 species